rnacentral:lncRNA from 1 species
CGGCCGCGGAGGCUGCGGGCGGCGCGGCGCGGCGCGGCGGGGCCCUCCCGGAGCGCGGCGGCCGCGGACCGAGUGCGCUUCGGAAGGCGACGCGCACGGAACGCGACCUCGGCGGGCGCGGGUACCGCGCACCGCUCCGCGCGGUCCCGGGGAGGGCGUCGGCGCGCGGAGGGCGGCGGGAACCGACGAGCAGAGCUCCCGCCCGUAAAUAAAGGGCGAAAAUGCAGAAUCGCGCUCCGCUACGCGGGCGAUCUCUCCUCCAUCGGCCCCGACAUCGGCAGCUCGGAAGGGGAAACGGAGCGGGGUAAGCGCCGGGGAUUGGCGGCGGGGCCGUCGGGCGCCGGGAGAGGGGCGGCGGAGGGAGGGACGGGGCCGAACCCACCGCCCCGUCCGCUUUACGGGGGAUCCCGUCUCGGUUCCUCCGCGGGCAGCCCCCGCCGUGCAGCUCCCGUACAGCCGGGGCUGGGGCCGACCCGGGGCUGCCGGCGGGCGGCUGCCCCCCCUAGAGGUGGCCCGGCCGCACUGCCCGCUGCGGGACGCCGGGGGAGCGGGGGCUGCGCUCGUUUGCUUCAUUUUUUCCCCCCUUCUUCUUCUUCUUUUUUUCCCCCCUUUUCCUAUUUGUUUUUUUUU